GAGAGAUACGGAGGUAGAGCACUGAAUGUCCUAGGGGGUAUUGCACCUACCGAAGACUAUCAAACUCCGAAUGCCGUCAUCUUAUACUUGGGAGUCAGACUGUGGGGGAUAAGAUUCAUAGUCGAAAGGGCAACAGCCCAGAUCGUCAGCUAAGGUCCCUAAAUGUAAGUUAAGUGGUAAAGGAUGUGGGAUUGCACAGACAACCAGGAUG
rnacentral:rRNA from 1 species